CAGGAAAACCAGCAAGAAGGAUGGAGUUUUCCACAAGUUCUCCAUCUCUUGCAAUCCUGUUGUUUUAGACCUCAUAAAGGCAUUCCCUGGCACACGCUGGAUUUGGAAAUCUCGGCAGCACAGCCUUUUAGAAAUCUCAGAGUUAAGGUGCUUGACUAAAACAGGGUGACCGGGCUUAUUUUGGUACCUUCCUUCACUGAACAAGAUGGAUCUGACCCGACACAGCUGUGUUACAUAAAUAAAAUAAAAC